ACGUAGGGUGCAAGCGUUAUUCGGAAUUAUUGGGCGUAAAGCGUGCGUAGGCGGCUGGGCAAGACCGAUGUGAAAACCCUGGGCUUAACCUGGGAAUUGCAUUGGUGACUGCACGGCUAGAGUGUGGCAGAGGGGGGUAGAAUUCCACGUGUAGCAGUGAAAUGCGUAGAUAUGUGGAGGAAUACCGAUGGCGAAGGCAGCCUCCUGGGAUAACACUGACGCUCAUGCACGAAAGCGUGGGGAGCAAACAG
rnacentral:rRNA from 1 species